UAACAGUUGUCCUGGGCAGAUAAGAUAC
rnacentral:piRNA from 1 species